rnacentral:rRNA from 1 species
UACGGGGGGAGCAAGCGUUGUUCGGAUUUACUGGGCGUAAAGGGCGCGUAGGCGGUCAGCACAAGUCAGUUGUGAAAUCUCCGGGCUUAACUCGGAAAGGUCAACUGAUACUGUGCGACUAGAGUGCGGAAGGGGCAACUGGAAUUCUUGGUGUAGCGGUGAAAUGCGUAGAUAUCUGGAGGAACACCGGUGGCGAAGGCGGCAUCCUGGACCGGUAUUGACGCUGAGGCGCGAAAGCCAGGGGAGCAAACGGG